AAAUAAUGCAAUUUAAAUCAUCAUACUUUAAUUCACGACGCAUUUUCUGUGCCGCAAUUGCAAAAUCAAUCAUCAGCAAAUAGCCCAUCAAAACAACAUAGAAGCAGCUCUAACGUGUCCUUAGACGAUACACAGGAAACUUUGUUAGCAACCGCUCUAGUAGUAGUCCAAGCCGCAGAUGGCAAUUCGUUAAUUAUGCGUGCACUUAUCGACCAAGGCUCACAAACAUCUGUAAUUACCGAAAAUGCCGCUCAAAGACUAGGUUUACCACGACAUCAAUAUAAAGGGAUCAUAUUAGGAUUAGGGCCAAAAGAGAACUCGUGUAAAGGUCUUAUGAAUAUUACCAUAGGUUCGAAUUACAGCAAUUUUACUUUAAAUACUGGAGUAUUCAUAAUGAACCAUGCGGUCAACAACCUGCCAAAUAGGUCUUUCAACAAACCUUCGUGGCCUUUCAUUAAUGACAUCCAGCUAGCUGAUCCAGAUAUUAUUGACGCCGUCAAGUUGAUUUAUUGUUAGGCGCCGAUGUAUAUUCAUCUAUCAUCAUGGACGGUAUCAUAAAAAAGGACGAAUUUCUUCCAGUAGCUCAGCAAACUCACUUUGGAUGAAUUCUAUGCGGUAACGUGAGAUCCUUCCAUUGCAAUGUAGUCACGGUCGACAUAGACAGCAUACAAAGAUUUUGGUCCAUUGAAGAUAUCAGUGACCGUGAAGAUGAUAUGUCGGAAGAGGAUUUAUUGUGUAUUCAGCAAUACAAAAAUACAACAACACGGCAGUCAGACGGAAGAUACGUUGUGCGUCUACCCUUACAUCACGACGCCGACGAAAAAUUGGGGUUCUCGAAACAAAAAGCAUGCGCUCAGUUUUAUCAGCUCGAAGGAAAGCUACAAAAGGACAAUGACUUGAAU